CUCCCUAUUAGAGCUAAAUUAAAAGCCUCUUUAUGGAGGCCUAGCAGAAGGCGCUGCACUGUGCUAACCUGCAGCCAGGAACGUGCAUUAACAGCAUGGAUCUGUGUUACCUCCGCUGCCCCCGAGAUGCUGUCAGUGACAAACUGGAAGGAGGGCAUCGCUGUUACACCUGGCUGUGGGAAGGGGAACUCAGCCCUGGGCUGGGAUGGAGCAGAGAGAGGCACAGCUCAUGAUAAAUCUUCCAUAGAGCCGUGGCAAGAGCAAAGAGCUCCUGCAGCACAAUGUGUUGUGUAGGCAGAUCCUGCUCCUAGGAGGGGCCAGGCUAAGAGGGAAUUGGGGUAGAAGGGAAAGUCAUAAUUUCCCCUUUGAGGACAGAUUGGAAAGGUGCUGCUCGUCCCAGGCUGAGCAGGGUGUGCUCUCUGUGCGUUUGGCACAUCUCUCAGCUGCAAAAAGGAGGCUUUAACACCACAAUGCUUCUUAUAAUCAGAAUGUUCAAUUAAAACUCGCUCCAAAUGGUGCGAGGGGUGAGGCUGCAUAGGGAAAGGUGAGCCAAAUUUCUCAGGAUUAAACACAGUGCCAAAAGAGCACCCACAGCUCCCGGGCAGGGGAGGGUGCUCACAACGGGGAUGUGCUGUAGGUGUACCCAGAGAUGUGGGACACAGAAGGGAAAGGCCUGAAAGUAGAAGAAGAAAAGUAUUUUCAAGGGUAAAAAAAAAAAUACCAAAGAAAGGAGAACAAGGAGAGCUGUGGGCAGACAGCGAUGCUAUAUAGAAAGCAGAGGUGGCACGGUUGGGUAAUGGAAAUAGGGCAAACUGGGGAGCUGGGAAAGGAGGAGAACUAAAUUGCUCGAAAUGAGUCUCUCCUGUGUUAUGUCCUGAGCUGCCAUUUCCAUCUGUGUGGAGCGCUGAAUAUAAGCAAAUGGAUUUACACCAAGCAGAGAUAGGAGUAAGGGCCUGGCAAGGAAGAGUAAAGCACGGAGCAAUUCUCUUUUCCUUGGAGCCUCGCUUCUGGAAACAUUCCCAGUCCUUGGCGUAUUCAUCAGGAUCGUUACAAUUCUGC
rnacentral:lncRNA from 1 species